GAGACCGGCGCACGGGUGCGUAACGCGUAUGCAAUCUACCUUGUACAGAGGGAUAGCCCAGAGAAAUUUGGAUUAAUACCUCAUGGUGUUAUUGAAUGGCAUCAUUUAAUAACUAAAGUUCUAACGGUACAAGAUGAGCAUGCGUCCCAUUAGUUAGUUGGUAAGGUAACGGCUUACCAAGACAAUGAUGGGUAGGGGUCCUGAGAGGGAGAUCCCCCACACUGGUACUGAGACACGGACCAGACUCCUACGGGAGGCAGCAGUGAGGAAUAUUGGACAAUGGGCGCAAGCCUGAUCCAGCCAUGCCGCGUGCAGGAUGACUGCCCUAUGGGUUGUAAACUGCUUUUAUACAGGAAGAAACACUGCUACGUGUAGCAGCUUGACGGUACUGUAGGAAUAAGGAUCGGCUAACUCCGUGCCAGCAGCCGCGGUAAUACGGAGGAUCCAAGCGUUAUCCGGAAUCAUUGGGUUUAAAGGGUCCGUAGGCGGCCUUAUAAGUCAGUGGUGAAAUCUCCUAGCUCAACUAGGAAACUGCCAUUGAUACUGUAGGGCUUGAAUUUUUAGGAAGUAACUAGAAUAUGUAGUGUAGCGGUGAAAUGCUUAGAUAUUACAUGGAAUACCAAUUGCG
rnacentral:rRNA from 1 species